UCCUUCGUGGUUGAUCUAAACGGUCCACAUACAUCGGUAUGUAUUAGGUCCAAUAGACCCUCGCCCCUUUCACAUGUACUCGUGAAGGGUGACUUAGUCAUCUUUCCAAGCAAACAAGACUCGCAUGUGUCAUCUUCCCUAAGGUCGAAUGACUCCAACACUCCAUCCUUUUGGAGUUGGGCUAUGCGUUUCUUGUUGACAUGUCCAAGACGACAAUGCCACAAGGAUGCUUUAUCCAUACUAGUGGAAGAAUCAAUAUUCAAAACAUCAUUUCCUAAGUUAUCAACAAUCAUAACGGUUUCAUAUAUUCCAUUACAUGGUAUAGCUUCAAAGUAAAAGACACCAUUUAGAUAAGCCAAAAUAGAACCAUUCUCAUUAUUAAAAGAAAAUCUAAAUCCUUGUCUAUAUAAACCAUGAAAUGAAAUGAUGUUUCUUGCCAUUUCUGGCGAAUAGCAACAAUUGUUCAAAUCUAAAACUAAACUAUUCCUAAGCACUAAGGAAUACACUCCAAUCUUGGUCACAGGCGACGAUCUUCUAUUCCCCAUGAUUAAAUUGAUUCUUCCUCGCUCCACAUCCCUACUUCUUCUUAGUCCUUGCACAUUAGAACAAUUGUGAUAACCACAACUGGUAUCAAGAACCCAAGAAAUAGCAUGAUUAGAAUCGUUAGAUUUAAUUGUAUAUAUACCUGCGAAAGAUGGCUUGAUCUUUCCUUCCUUGAUGGCUUGCAGGUACUCUGGGCAGCUUCUCUUCCAAUGUCCUAUCUUGUGGCAGUGGUGGCACUCUGCCUCCUUCGGGUUAGGGCAGGGCUUAGCGGGAUCAACUUUGGUCCCACUAGAAGAGGCACCAUCUCGGGCUUUAACCUUGCGAUAGUUCUUAGACGAAGCCUUCCUCUUCUUUCCCUUUCCUUGACCAAUAGCCAAGACAGGAGCAGCGGGUGGAUUGGGAGUUGGUGCAACAGACUUGUCUUUGAAGUUGCUCUCAGCGACCCUCAAGAGACCUUGGAGUUUGCUUAGGGUGACCUCCUCUUUGUUCAUGUGGUAGGUCAUCCUAAAUUGAUUGUACAUCGGAGGCAAAGAGUGAAGCACCAUGUCGAUCGCCAAGUCUUCCCCAAAGUCAACAUUUAACUUGCGAAGGCGGUCGACAUACCUUUGCAUCUUUUGCAGGUGCACGGUAAGAGAUUCUCCAUGACCCAUCUUAGCGGAAAUCAUGUUAGUGAAAAUCUCAUAACGCUAUUGUCUCGAGUUUUGGUGGUAUCUCUCCAUUAAGUCUUGAUGCAUCUUGUACGGGUACAUGUCCUCGUAGGACUUUUGGAAUUCGGAGUUCAUGGUGGCUAUCAUGAUGCAAUGUACCUUCGUUGCAUCUCGCUCAUGAGUUUCAAAAGCGGUAAUUUCAGCCGGAGUAGCGAUUUCAGGGUUGAUUUUCUCGAGCUUCUCAUCGAGGACAUACUCCUUAUCCUCAUAGCGAGCAAUGGUGCGAAUGUAUCUUAUCCAUUCGCUAAAGUUCGUUCCAUCGAAGGUGACCUUUUGGCAAAGGCUCAUCAACGUGAAGGAACUAGCACCAACGUUGUUUGCAUUUGACAUCUACAAAUAGAAAGGACAAAGAUAUAUUAGAAUAUGAAUCCCUAAUUAUCACCCAAUAAGAAAAAUUAGGGCUAGGAUCCAACAACAACAUUUACAUAUGAGAAAAGGGAUGCCGUAAUCUAACAUGCAAAUAAAUUGAAGGUAAGUGAAUGACGAUUCACUAAUUCUCCACCAUAAAACCUAACUAUUAGUCCUAAAUGUAUUGAGAAUUCCUAGGAUCGGAUGAGAUUCAUUGAAACUAUUCAAUGGCAUGUUUAAAUCUCGAUAUGCCCCUCUUGUUUGUGACUGGGAUACCGAGGAUCACAAAGCGGGUGUGAAUUACCAUGCAAAUUCACAUGGUGCCUUCAUUGUAACGAUCACCUAUUCGAUGUGCCGGUAAACCACACACGCUCCAUCGAACUAUGAUAAACAAUGAAUCACCCUUUGCCACCUUUGCUUAGAACCAAUUAGUGUGCCGGUAAACCACACACGCUCCACUAACUUCUUAGCAAGGGUGCAAAGUGUAAUUUCAUGGGAUUGCAUCAAUUCACUUUUCCUAAAGUAACUAAGAUUGGGAAAUUUUAAAAAAUGUGUAGUUACUUUGUAUUUCCUAUUAUACUUUUAAUGAGAGCAAGAUGUUGCCCUAUCCUACCCGUUCGGUUAACGACCCUCCACCGAUCAAGCAAGCGGUGGGUGUGAGUGUACACCCAUUAAGCGCCAUUUUAUAGGCCGCAACCUUAUACCCACCUUAUAGAUCGGCUUCGUGAAUGAGGCCUACUAACGGUAAGACUAGCAUUUAAUUAUACAUAUAUAUAUUAUUCUAGUAAUAUCAUAUUAGUAUAGGGUUGUAUUUUAAAACUUUUAAAAUCUAGGGUUUG
rnacentral:lncRNA from 1 species